rnacentral:rRNA from 1 species
UACGGAGGGUGCAAGCGUUGUCCGGAAUCACUGGGCGUAAAGGGCGCGUAGGCGGCUCGGUAAGUAGGGGGUGAAAUCCUGCGGCUUAACCGCAGGGCUGCCUUCUAAACUGUCGAGCUCGAGCACAGUAGAGGCAGGUGGAAUUCCCGGUGUAGCGGUGGAAUGCGUAGAGAUCGGGAAGAACAUCGGUGGCGAAGGCGGCCUGCUGGGCUGUUGCUGACGCUGAGGCGCGACAGCGUGGGGAGCAAACAGG